UACGUAGGGCGCGAGCGUUGUCCGGAUUUAUUGGGCGUAAAGAGCUCGUAGGCGGCUUUUUGCGUCGACUGUGAAAACCCGCAGCUUAACUGCGGGCCUGCAGUUGAUACGGGCAGGCUAGAGUUCGGUAGGGGAGACUGGAAUUCCGGUGUAGCGGUGAAAUGCGUAGAUAUCGGAAGGAACACCAGUGGCGAAAGCGGCUUCCUGGUCCAGCACCGACGUUCAGGCACGAAAGCGUGGGGAGCAAACAGG
rnacentral:rRNA from 1 species